rnacentral:rRNA from 1 species
AUACGUAGGUGGCAAGCGUUGUCCGGAUUUACUGGGUGUAAAGGGCGUGUAGGCGGAGAUGCAAGUCAGGAGUGAAAUCUAGGGGCUCAACCCCUAAACUGCUUUUGAAACUGUAUCCCUUGAGUAUCGGAGAGGCAGGCGGAAUUCCUAGGGUAGCGGUGAAAUGCGUAGAUAUUAGGAGGAACACCAGUGGCGAAGGCGGCCUGCUGGACGACAACUGACGCUGAGGCGCGAAAGCGUGAGGAGCAAACAGGAUUAGAUACCCUGGUAGUCCACGCUGUAAACGAUGAAUACUAGGUGUGGGGGGACUGACCCCCUCCGUGCCGCAGUUAACACAAUAAGUAUUCCACCUGGGGAGUACGAUCGCAAGAUUGAAACUCAAAGGAAUUGGCGGGG